rnacentral:rRNA from 1 species
UACGUAGGGUGCGAGCGUUAAUCGGAAUUACUGGGCGUAAAGCGCGUGUAGGCGGUCCUGCAAGUCUGAUGUGAAAGCCCCGGGCUUAACCCGGGAAGUGCAUUGGAAACUGCAGGUCUUGAGUACUGGAGAGGAUGGGGGAAUUCCCGGUGUAGAGGUGAAAUUCGUAGAGAUCGGGAGGAAUAUCAGUGGCGAAGGCGCCCAUCUGGACGGUAACUGACGCUGAGACGCGAAAGCGUGGGGAGCAAACAGGAUUAGAUACCCUGGUAGUCCACGCUGUAAACGAUGAGCACUGGGUGUAGCGGGUACUCAUUCCUGCUGUGCCGCAGCUAACGCGUUAAGUGCUCCGCCUGGGGAUUACGGUCGCAAGACUAAA